rnacentral:rRNA from 1 species
AACGAACGCUGGCGGCGUGCUUAACACAUGCAAGUCGAACGAGAAAGUCCCUUCGGGGGCGAGUAUAGUGGCGGACGGGUGAGUAACGCGUAGGUAAUCUACCUAGUAGUGGGGAAUAACACUUGGAAACGAGUGCUAAUUCCGCAUAAGUUAAGCGAAUAUAGGUUUGCUUAAGAAAGGGGCUUGCCCCGCUAUUAGAUGAGCCUGCGUCCCAUUAGCUUGUUGGUGAGGUAAAAGCUCACCAAGGCGACGAUGGGUAGCUGGUCUGAGAGGAUGAUCAGCCACACUGGAACUGACACACGGUCCAGACUCCUACGGGAGGCAGCAGUGGGGAAUAUUGCGCAAUGGGCGAAAGCCUGACGCAGCCACGCCGCGUGAGUGAUGAAGGCCUCGGUUGU